AUGAGAAAUAAGGUGGAUAAGAAGAAGGCCUCAUGGCUAGAUAGCAUCUACAAGUUAAAAGAAAAGUGGACUGAAUGUUACAUGAGGGAUGUUUUCACAUUGGGAAUGAGAAGCACACAAUUAAGUGAGAGUUUCAAUAGUGAUUUGAAAAAACAUCUCAAAUCAGAUUUUGACAUCAUUCGCUUCUUAAAACAUUUUGAAAGGGCUGUGCAAGGAAAAAGAAACAAGGAGCUAGAUGCAGAAUUUGAAGCUACUAAAAACUGCCUAGAAUAG
rnacentral:rRNA from 1 species